CAAAACUCAAAAACUUAACUUUGACCACUGAACCAUGAAAAUGAGGUUAAGGUCAGAUGACACCUGCCAACUAGACAUGUACACCUUAAAAUCAUUCCAUAUACCAAAUAUAGUAGACGUAUUGCAUACAGGAUAAAAAAAACAGACCAAAACGCAAAAACUUAACACUGAUCAAUGAACCGUGAAAAUGAGGUCAAGGUCAAAUAAAA
rnacentral:lncRNA from 1 species